GGAACAGGAGGCCAAAUAUUUCAAGUACGUACUUCAGUAGUAAUUACAAUAAAAUAAUCUGGGAUUAGGUGACGUUUGAUGGAUACAGGAGUGGUCUGGUGUGGGCUGCAGUUUGGGAGAUAUCAGCUGUAUAUCUGCCUUCUCUUGUGUGUAAUUGAGGAAGCACCAAAAAAGUACAUUUAAAAAAAAUUACAGCAGUGUUUCUUUCCAGAAUGUAAUUUCUGCCACUUUGAGCAACACAAGCUGAGUCCCAUCUAUAUCCACUAUACUGAAGAAAAGGUAGAAAUCUCUACAAGCCGAUAUCUCCAAAACUCAGUAACUCACAUCAAAACAAUCCACAUGGAUACACAGAGCCACAGGUAAGUGGAAAAAUAUGUAUUUUUGAUUUUUGGGGUGAACUGUCCUUUUAAGUCUUUAAUGAAGCUCACAGGGUUCAAAAUAAAUGUUGUCAGGUUUUGUCUGCAGCCAUUUUUUAAAAUUUGAUCAUCUCUGAUCUCACAGUGAAAUGCUGAAGAUGGUCCUGCUACAAAUAAAACAACAUCAAUGGGUUUAUACAUGUCAGGUGUGGGUGUUAAGGUGUGGUAGAGAAUAUCGAGUACAUUCUUGUAAGCCUUUGAUUAGAUCGCAGAAGGGUUGUCUGGAUUGACUGUCAGUAUGUGUCCUUACGCAAAUGUCAGCGCCUGAGUCUACAGUAUGACGCAUCAUUUAGGAGUGUCUAAUUUCACCACAAGCUGGUGGCACGGUUAUCGUUGUAACUCUCAGGACUUCAGGUAGGCAACUCGUCUCUGUGCCUCUUGAUUUUGAUAUUUUGUGACUGUGUUGUGGUCAGUGUUUUGCUUUAUUUGGCUAUAAACUCAGAAGUAAAAGGGAUGCUUGCCAGACAAUUGUUCUGUUUUUAAAGGCAAGUUCCAACAUCAUCUGCGAUAGUGAGAGAUAGGAGAGACAGAGGGAGUGGCAUGCAGCAAAGGGUACAGGCUUGAUUCAAACUCACUCGCUUGACAACCGCAGUGAGAACUCGGCCGUAAUAUGGCAGUUGAACGACACAUCUUUACUGUUAAUAAAUAUUCCUUUGGACCUCGCUGCUUGCGUGAUAGUUGGCAACUUUGGACUGUGGGUGGAGAACUGCAGUAUGUUGGAAACUUAUGAUACGAGAGAAGAGGAGUGCUUUCUGUUCUGUCAGCGACCGUGUCCGCGAUGUUUUAAAACGACUUUUCCCUUUUCGUGAUCACGACUAACAAGAGGGCGGCUCAUCCUGCAUUGUACAUAUGUUGAGCCUCGGUGAAUCAGCAGAACAGAUCACGACAUGCCCUACAAAAACCUGGAUAAGAGAUUGAGCAGGUAAAGUGCUGUAAAUGCUGGUUGCCAAACACCACAGCUGCCAGUGGCGGACUCCCAGUGUUUGAGUGGCGGGGGUGAAAAAAAACACAAAAUGGCACCAGCUGCAUGAGGAGAUGAGGAGCGUGUAGUAUGAGAGCCACAAGAGGACUGAGGUCGGCCGCUGGUGUUGGACGGUGAGGCCUGAGGAUCCUGUUCAUCCCAGGGGCGUCGGACAGGCUCAAGAUCAGGGAAGUGUCUCGCAAUGUUCAAGAAAAUGAAAAAACAAGCUAAUGAACCAAUUCAUUAACUAAUUAACCAACCAACCAGCUAACAAAUUAACCUACCCACAAACCAGUCAACCAACUAAUGAACCAACCAACAAACAGACAGGGGUGAAAACAAAACCUCCUUGGCUGAGGUGAUUAAAGUCACAUAUUGUCAUAAUGCCAGUAUAAUACUACUCACAAUGUGUGCGUUACAAUUAUAGGUACAAUGAUCCAUCACGUGCAGUGAAUAUAGAAUUUAUUGUCCAUACUAUCUUAUUUUUUCCAUUUCAUUGUCUUGCUUUAUCUGAUUCUGUAACUGCUGUAACCAUUGAAUUUCUCAGGUGCUGGAGACCAAUAAAGGUUGAUCUUAUAAAACCA